GAUGAAGAACGCAGCGAAAUGCGAUAAGUAGUGUGAAUUGCAGAAUUCCGUGAAUCAUCGAAUCUUUGAACGCACAUUGCGCCCCCUGGUAUUCCGGGGGGCAUGCCUGUCCGAGCGUCAUUGCAACCUUCAAGCGCGGCUUGUGUGUUGGGUCUCGUCCCCCGUGGACGGGCCCGAAAGGCAGUGGCGGCGUCCCGACAUGGUGCCCGAGCGUAUGGGAAUCCUCUUCCGCUCGAAUCGGCCCAUGCGGCGCUGGUCGUAACCAAAUUUUUUACCGGUUGACCUCGGAUCAGGUAGGGAUACCCGCUGAACUUAAGCAUAUCAAUAAGCGGAGGA
rnacentral:misc_RNA from 1 species